rnacentral:rRNA from 1 species
GACGAACGCUGGCGGCGUGCCUAAUACAUGCAAGUCGAGCGGACCAAAGGGAGCUUGCUCCUGGAGGUUAGCGGCGAACGGGUGAGUAACACGUGGGCAACCUGCCUGUAAGACUGGGAUAACAUCGAGAAAUCGGUGCUAAUACCGGAUAAUAAAAAGAACUGCAUGGUUCUUUUUGAAAGAUGGUUUCGGCUAUCACUUACAGAUGGGCCCGCGGCGCAUUAGCUAGUUGGUGAGGUAACGGCUCACCAAGGCGACGAUGCGUAGCCGACCUGAGAGGGUGAUCGGCCACACUGGGACUGAGACACGGCCCAGACUCCUACGGGAGGCAGCAGUAGGGAAUCUUCCGCAAUGGACGAAAGUCUGACGGAGCAACGCCGCGUGAGUGAUGAAGGUUUUCGGAUCGUAAAACUCUGUUGUUAGGGAAGAACAAGUGCGUUCGAAAGGGCGGCACCUUGACGGUACCUAACGAGAAAGCCACGGCUAACUACGUGCCAGCAGCCGCGGU